CUGUCCAUUACUCACUCUUAAUCACUGAGGAAAAAACAUUCAGCUUGUACUAUGAAACUUUUCUUCAAGCUUCAGAGAAUAAAUUCAUCCACUCAUCCAUUAUUCAUUAGUUCAAAGGCCAGCAGCUACUCCAGUGUGCAACCGCUCUUCCUUCUCCACAUUCUCCUUUCCUUCAUCUCUGCGGGAUCAGUCUUACACAAACUCAAGCUGCGCUGGGUCUUCUGUAUAAUAUAUCCCAGUUCAUUUCAGGUCUAAUUGAAGAAGAGCACAAGACAUCUUCACAAACUGCUAUUGCAACAGCGUAAUAACAAGAGGAUCAGAGGCCUUCAAAUCAAGGUCAAACUAUCUGUCUAGUCAAGUAUUCCAUUUACAGCAUUCCAGAACAGAUUCAUCUAAAGAACGAAGAAACAUACAGGUUUGGAACAACAUGAGGGUUCAUUGACAUCAUCUCGCUGUGGAAUCACUUGACAUUUGGGAUUUGACCAUUCCCUGCUGCACCCCAAUUCCUUCCUGCUGGCAGAUAAUUGCAUCAAACAUUCAUGAUGACCUAUACAAGCAGGCUGCAUGGAGGGCAUGGCUCAGCUGAUCCACAGACUUCAACUCCACCCUGAUCGAGCGGUAACUGGGGUGGAUUAAUAUGGAGCAUGCAGAUCGCUUAUGCUGGAACCAGCAAGCCUCUAGGGAAAGAUCGGCCCACUGAUGCUUUUGUUAUUGAUAUCACACUAGGAGCCUGGGCCACAAUGGAUAACCUCAGAAACAACCUGUUAGUUGUUAUAUCCUAAUAAAUAAACAAUAUUUUUUGUUAUUUUAUCAAUAUUCCUCAAGUAUGUCAAAAAUAGCUAGCAAGACACAUCUCUGAAAUAGAAGCUUUACAAUAAAAAUUAUUUAAUAUACAGUAUUAAUUUGAUCCUCUACAUGUAGCAAUUAUGAAUAUGUGCUGUUAAAUUAUGCACCAUGAAGAAAUUAGGAAUAAUUAAUGAAUUAUUUA